CCUGAAAUUAAAGUUUGAAAGUGACUUUGCCAAAUCCCACACCUGUAAACAUCUCUGCUGCUAUAGUCAUAAAACAGAGGAUAUGAGAAUAUAUAGAGAUCUUUUAAAUCUAGAAGUUAGCAUCUUGAACUGGUACAGUUCAGAGGUAGUAAAACACAGUUUAAUUGAAGUGAGCUUUCAAAGGGGUACUUGGUCAUUAACAGUGCUUUAAGUAUUUGGAAAGGAACCCUUGACCUACACAAUUGGUCUUACCCACAUAACAGAAUUCACUUCACUUGCUCAAAAAAAAAAAGUUAGCUUGAAGCUUGUGUUGUCCUUCCUUACUACCUGUAACAGCACCUUGCUCAAACUCUGGGUACCGAACUGUCAGCCAACGCGUGCUCCCUCUGCUGGCACUCUUCAUAGCAAAAUAGCAUAUAUAGAAACAGUGACCUAUAUUGAAAAUUCUUAUACCAGAUAAGGAAUUUUACACAUUUAACAUCUUUUGGAUUGCAUCACUUUACAUUACUUCUUUUCCCCCCCAAAAAGUUAACAAUUUACACAGUGAAUCACUACCACAACAAAAAAAAAGGUUGGUCAAUUACACAAGCAUGCAACUGAAGGUACACUCUCAACUUCCUCUCAUUUCAACGUGAUACUGCUGACAGUUUUAACCAGUCGCACUGGGUUCAGCUGGGAUAGAAUUCCAGUCAGCAUAAGAAAACAUUUCUGUAGAAACAAUGGUGCUCUGAAGGCAUUUGACUGCCUCUCUGAAAGAAGUUCAUUGAAGACAGUAUGGCCCUGGAGUCCAAACCAUUCAUCUCCUAAGAGUGCAUCAUUUACCUUCAUCUCAAUGCCUACCAAGAAUAAGAGACUUCAAUCACUUUUAAAAGGGAAAACCAGGCAUGUAUCUAAAGUCAAUCACCACUCAAAAGAGGUAUGAAAUCAUUAUUUGCACACUAAUCUGUAAAGUUGUAACAUUUCAAAUGUACAGUUCCAACAGAUUUUCAUCAUGAACACCAUCUCUGUCUACCAUUUCAGCUGGCACACAUUGGCAACCACAUCAGGACCCCGCUGUGCUGAGCGGUUCAGCAGACUCAGUUGAUGCGCUGCCGGCACAGACAGAUCUUCAAGUUUUAUCAGCAAGGCCAGAAACUCACCUGAAAGCUAUUAACUGCUCAACUCCCAAAGCAGCAGCUUUGGAAUAAGACUGAAUUGUGAGCAUUUUUCAAGUCAUGGCACUUGGCAUUGCUGAAAGAGAACAGAAGACCUGCUCCAGGAAUGGAAACAAAAACGUGGUCUCCUGAACCCCGGCCUGCUGAUACAAAGGCAAGAACACCCAUCCUUCUUCACGGGAAGCACUAAUUCAGGAAUAUAGUAAAGUAAUAUGAAGAUAACUAAACAUUUGUUAAAAAAAAUUGUUAAUAGGCUUUUGGUUUUAUUUCAAAAGAUGAUAAAUAAGGAAGACUUCUGCUAAGGACUCCUUCCUCAAAGUUUUCAAUAGAAAAUGGCAGAUGUCAUUUAAAAAAAACAACAAAAAAGUCUUUAGGAGUUUCAGUACAGAAAGAUUUAGCCUUGAAGAUACUUGAAGUCACAAGCCGAGGUACUGUGAGUAAUGCAACCAGACAGGGAAUAAAGGAGUAGCAAAAGAAGGAAGGAAAAAAAACAGACCCUGAACUUCAGCAUUCUGGAUAAACUCCUCCAAGGCCAGUAUUAAAGACACUGCGAUGAAGGUCCCCUGUUAACCACCUUUGCUGCUAGAAAUAUAUACUUCCCACAUACUCACUAUGUAAACCUUGUCUCAAAUGAAAGAAACCUGCUCUCCCAAGUGAGGCUUAUGUUCAAAUCAGUGAAAGGAUCCCUGUUAAAAACAUGCCCUAAAGUUUGUUACUUUGCCAAAGCGAAAAACCAACCAACCAACAAAAAAAACCUCCAGCAGAGAAACCAGCCUGCCAGCUCUCUGCCCAACACCUUUGCGCUGAUCUGCCUUAUGAUCACUCAGGAAACUGCACUUGCACAGCUGAAGAGCCAUUAAUCUCCAGUACAACUGCAGGGGAUGGUGCCAACACAGAAGUACCUGGCUUUAGCUAUAUAAGUUACACAAUGCACCGUGUAUGCUGAAAGAUUCUAUUGCCUAAAAUAUGGCUAAAGUGCUGCAAGAUUGUAAGAAAAACCAAGCAGCUCCAAAAAGCGAAGACAACAAGUAAUAAUUAUGUAUGCUUCUUACAAUUCAUUUCACUAAUUUAUACCAUACUUUGCCACACGCACUGCAAGACUUCUCAUCCUGUAAAAAUAGAAGUAUAUAUUCCCUGUGCCAGCUGUAAGACCUGAACUCAAACUUUCUGCUCUGGAGUUUCUCCUCCAAACCCCACUGACACCAGCUUGGCCAAUACUGGUCUUGAUGAAGCUGUGGAAGUUUUAAGCAUUUGAAGCUUAUGUGAAUUAGACAGUGAUAUUAUCUAGCUGGGAAUUACAGUCCCAUUUCUUUGGACAGACGUGUAAGAGUGAAAUUCAUCUUUUUUUUUCCAUUGGCUAUCAGAACAACGACACAAUCGGUGCACACAUUCCAUACUGCUUGAAGAUUUUAUCACUUGGGGAAAAAAGUGUACAGUGAGUUCAUCUCUUACUGUUUGGAUAGAUUUAUUCCAAGGGUUUGGGCUAUUAAAACUUUUUAAAUUAACACAACAGUGACAAAUAAUCAGUGAGCAACUGACCAGCAGCUAAAAGGCAAAAGUUUAGAGGUUCAAAUCGCAAGUAUUAUCAAUCAUAACCGAGAUAGAAUCAGUAUGGCACUCUCUUCUCCCCUUCCUAUUGUCCGCCUGUUACCUUUUACACUCCCAGAUUCCCAGCUGUACUCCACACACUGUUUUAGCUCUCUCAGAAUUAAUUUUAUUUGGAAGUAUAAGCCAAAAAUCAAAAUGAAGUACUUAUUUUUUCUGCUUUCAUCUCUGAGAAGACAAAGCUCAGAAGGCAAAAGGUAGUCCUUGUUACUGGAGAAGAGCUAAAAAACAUCAGCGAUGAAACAUACACCCUGAUGUGAAUAAGUUCAUUCAUCAGUAUCUACUCAAUACUUCCCAAAGUAACUUCCCAACCAUUUCAUUAUAAAAUACUGUACUGAAAUACUUUAAGCUUUAAGAGCAUGUGAAAUUACAAACGCAAACUGAAAAGCAACAUGAGCUGCUGCCUUCCAUCCAGGACAGUGGUACACUUGAUUUUUGCACAUUUAAGCCUAUAUGGAAUCUUACCAUUGAUCUUUCAGAAUAUCCAAACAAAUGGCCCCAGUAACUGAGCUAAUAUUAGGAUGCCAUAUUUUGGUGAUAAACCGCACCUAAAACACAAGAAAAUUUUAAAAUGAAAUGGUUAUUACAUGCAGUAUAUGAAGGAAACAUAUUUAAAAUGCACCAUUUCUAAUAUUAUGAAGCAAUACUGAUUUAGGCAGGAUCAUACUAAAAACAGAGCUAAGACUGUGGCAUGACCUUUUCCAGGAGGCCUCAAGUUUUCAAGCCCAUUUGUUACAUACAGCCUUGCUUUAUUCAGAAACAGACUACUGCUCCACUGAGUAUGCCAAAAUCAUCCCCAGCUGUUUUCCCAUGUACUGUCACAUGGGCACAUCCUCACAUCACACAAAGCCACUCAGAAAUAUCCUCCAGUUGUACCAGUGUUUAAACACAAGCACAUAGUGCAAAGCAGACACAGAUCUUGUCAGAAGUCAGCUGAAGUGCUGGAAAUUCUGCUCAAUUAAGGUAGAUUCCUACACGUAGGCACAGGACCUCACACUUCAGCUGAAUUGCUGGUAGCUACCGGAACAUCAAAAAAAGCUUCCUUGGUGGAUGCUACGCUUUCACAAACACCUCCUGCCAUCCAUUGGAACAACGACCUUCAACAAACCCAAACCUGACUAAACUAGAAUUCUUUUUCUUUGCUGUUGGAAAGACCUGGUCCCAGCACUCGCUCACCGAUCAUGUCCAUAUUUUAACACUAAAGUGUAUUCACACUCGUGAAGCAUACAUAAAGUGAUUUAUUGAAAGACGCCGAGAACGUUGGAAUCAGCAUUUUCCUAUAAAAACUGUCCUCUGAAAGGAAUGUAUGCAAACCCAUUGGUGCCCACCAAAUUUUCUUCAAACCUCUUCAGUUGCUUUUAACUGUUUUAUGACGACUGACCUGUUUCAGUGCUUCCAUUUCCACCUCCUCACUCCAAACUCUUGCCAAUCAUUUUAUGAACGGCACAGACUCACUUUCAACUUUUGCCCCUGAUCUGCAAGCAAAUCAGUGCAGCCAACACAUUGCUGGCCAAGUCCUACAGCAAAACACCGUACAUACGGGACUAUAAUAAAAUCAAAACAAUCAGUGUUUAUAUAGCUGAGACCAUAAUAGUUCUGCUUUCCAGGACAGAAACUAGGAGCCCACAUCUGCUGAGCCUCUUAUUAACUACCUCAACCCUGAAACACAAUAAAACCACCACAAGGCAACAUGUAAAUAUUGAGUAUUUUCUCACUGAGAAUGCAAGCUAACAAUGGCUGUCAAACCACAUUCUGAACAAGAUAAAGAAAUCUUUCAGAUGAAAAGCAGGACCAGAUACAAGCCAAAAGGCCUCCAAUUCAAGACCAUCUACUCCAGAAUAAGCAGUACUAUGCUACAGUGCAUUGAGUUUCUAACAGUUAUGUAUAAGCUUUAGAAAUGAGCAUCAAGCCCUAAAGCAGCAAUUAAACCACGGUCCAUAGACUUAUCUUUCAGGACCUACGACUGGUUUCAGCCCUUUUUAUUUUUAGCUCCCAGCAGAACACAUGCAGAUGAAAGAACUGAAACCAACAGACAUUUCAGUAAGAAGAAAUUACUGUCUUUCACUCCAGACCCAAGGAAGUCACUCAAAGGACAAGAGCUAAGUGCUACUGACACCGCUCCCCUCCUCCUCUUUCCCAGUCCCUUCCCAUUAUUACAUACCAGGGUGAAAAUAAUCACAACUCAUUCUUAGCCAAAGACAUCUUUCAGACUUAAACAGGAAGCCAAUCAAGAAGCUGUGAGACAGCUGUAAGACAAUGCUGGAGUCUGCUAGCUUAUCAUAAGCCACUGAAGAAGGCACCAAGCGAGACCUCGGGAAUAUACAACUGCAGCUGCACACAGCUGGAGUAAACACUAUUCUGAGCACUACUUGAGAUGGAAGCAAAGUCACAAAUUGAAAAUACCAGAAAGACACAAGAGAGAUGUGGUAAAAGUGAAGGGCAGCAAGCUGCAGGAGCGUACAAGUAAAUUUAACACACUUUUCACAUCUCCCAUGCUCAUGCACACAUUUUAUGCACUCCUUCAGAAAAACUGCAGUAAAACCCUGCUAUUCCUAUUGGUCCUUAGGUCAUAAAAUCACUGCAGUUCUAGUCCUAUUUAAUUAUUAACAGAAAACUUGGAAGGUUAAACCUAAGACUUUACCAAAUAUAGUUUAUGGGGUUUGAAGAAUUAAAAGAACAAACAAUUAUCUAUUACAGCAUUUCUUCAGCAAUUCCAAGGUGCGGCAGGCAGAAAUCAAUAUUCUCCACAUCAAGGAAAGCCAUCCGAAAACUGAAUCUUGCCAAGAAGAAAUUACAACAUGGUCAAUAAACCACUGCCCAGAAUUUAUCAAUUUGUACUCUGAAGAAUAAUCAGUGUAUUUCUGAUGGGAUACGGGUACACAUCCUACAUGAUUUCUACCUUGAAAAGACAGUUCCAGUCUCUGUCUGUAGGAGAAUCAAAAGAGGAAGAUGGGUACUACAGAGCAAAUGGGUACAUAAGCAAAUAACUAAGAACGAUCAAAAAUCCCUUGUUAGGCAAAUUGUUUUACAAAGAAAAACGUUGCUCUUACCUUAGGAGGAUUAAAUGGAUAUGUUUCUGGAAUUUUUAUCUCUAGCUGAUAUCUUCCACCUUCAGAAAACAAAAACAAAUUAGAAGUCAAAACCGAAUAUUAAUUAAGCUUAAUCUUAUGUCAGCAAAACUUAGGCUUCUAAAGGCUCAUGUUUUCCAGCAAUUUAAACUUCCCAGUAAGCAUUACCUAGAAGGUACUUCUAGAUUUCAUAUACGAAUGUUAGGGAUAUCUAAUAAAGCCAUACCAGCUUAUGCAAAUCAGAAUCUAUAUUCCUUAGGUGUAUUACUGUGUACAUUCACCUGUAGUUAUUUCCAAAAUUAUAAUUUCUCCAUUCUAUGUAAGCAAAAUGUACUAAAAUAUAAAUCAGUAUCCCAAAACAGACAUCAAAUGAAGCGAAAGGCCACAGGAGUGACCAGGGUGAACAUGGAACGUUAUGUUAUUUUGACUCUUUUCUGUUGCCUAUUAACUACUAAUCAGAUUCCCUGCCCAUCCCCCUGUUGUUGAAAUUUAUUUCACUCAAGCUUUCCAGACCUGAGAACAUUCAACAGCACCAUCAAAACUACCAUGCUUUGGAAAAUGAAAAGGAGGAUCCAGUGCUGUUCCCAUUAUGUUCUGCAUUACUGUCUGAAGAUAGCAUUUACAAUUCCAUUGCAAUUCAGUACUUCCAAAUACUAGGACUAUUAAUAUCGUUUGUAGAAUUACAGCAUGUAAUAAAGGAUAGCAUGAAUCUGGAACAUGGAACUCUCUACUGACCUUCUCUAAACAUAUUUUGUUUUCAUCUGCCUGUUACUAUAUCAUUAUCUAACCAUUCAAGAUUUCCACCUCAAACCAUCUCUGCCUACUCAUGCUUACUUGCCAGGAAGCAGUGGCAUCAUUUUAACGAUGAAAAGAACAGAGCAUAGCAAAACACAAGCACCAAUUUAGACACUUGGCUUUUAUAGAAACUGAAAGCAUUGCUCCUCACAUGCUAAUUCUCCCCCUCAUUCUACCACUGUUCUCUCUGAAAGAAACCAUCAUUAAAUAUACGUUUUUUUGGUUUUUUUUUUUUUUUUUAGAAUUCCUAUGUUCCAUUACCUAAAGCCCAAUACAAAAACAGAUCUCAAGUACUCUCUCUCUCUAAGUCUACAUACAAAAAAACAAAUAAACUUCAAGGAACACUGAA